AUCCAGCUGACGAAUCUCAAAUAGAACGAAACGCAUGUCCUGGAU
rnacentral:hammerhead_ribozyme from 1 species